ACGAACGCUGGCGGCGUGCUUAACACAUGCAAGUCGAGCGGUAAGGCCCUUUCGGGGGUACGACGAGCGGCGAACGGGUGAGUAACACGUGGGUGACCUGCCCUUAGCUCUGGGAUAAGCCUGGGAAACUGGGUCUAAUACCGGAUAUGACUCCAUGACGCAUGUUGUGGGGUGGAAAGCCUUGUGCGGCUAGGGAUGGGCCUGCGGCCUAUCAGCUUGUUGGUGGGGUGAUGGCCACCAAGGCGACGACGGGUAGCCGGCCUGAGAGGGCGACCGGCC
rnacentral:rRNA from 1 species